rnacentral:rRNA from 1 species
GUGAACGCUGGCGGUAGGCCUAACCCAUGCAAGUCGAACGGCAGCACAGUAAGAGCUUGCUCUUACGGGUGGCGAGUGGCGGACGGGUGAGGAAUACAUCGGAAUCUACUUUUUCGUGGGGGAUAACGUAGGGAAACUUACGCUAAUACCGCAUACGACCUACGGGUGAAAGCAGGGGAUCUUCGGACCUUGCGCGAUUGAAUGAGCCGAUGUCGGAUUAGCUAGUUGGCGGGGUAAAGGCCCACCAAGGCGACGAUCCGUAGCGGGUCUGAGAGGAUGAUCAGCCACACUGGAACUGAGACACGGUCCAGACUCCUACGGGAGGCAGCAGUGGGGAAUAUUGGACAAUGGGCGCAAGCCUGAUCCAGCCAUACCGCGUGGGUGAAGAAGGCCUUCGGGUUGUAAAGCCCUUUUGUUGGGAAAGAAAAGCAGCAGGUUAAUACCCCGCUGUUCUGACGGUACCCAAAGAAUAAGCACCGGCUAACUUCGUG